CACGUAGGGCGCAAGCGUUGUCCGGAAUUAUUGGGCGUAAAGAGCUCGUAGGCGGUCUGUUGCGUCUGCUGUGAAAACCCGGGGCUUAACCCCUGGCUUGCAGUGGAUACGGACAGACUAGAGGUAGGUAGGGGAGAAUGGAAUUCCCGGUGUAGCGGUGAAAUGCGCAGAUAUCAGGAGGAACACCGGUGGCGAAGGCGGGUCUCUGGGCCGAUACUGACGCUGAGGAGCGAAAGCGUGGGGAGCGAACAGG
rnacentral:rRNA from 1 species